UUCCCAUAGGAAAACAUUUUACAAACACGGGUAAAAUCCAAAGCUUUUUUUUGGAAAUUGUCUUACCCAUUUCUCUAGCGUAAGACAUUUUCCCUUUCUCCUUUCUCUUCUUCAACCUUCUUCAACCUUCUUCUAUUAUCUCUAUCUGCUAAGGCCGGCAUACCGCAAAAGAUUCAGCCCUUUGCUAAGAGUGGUUCCAGUUGAUUUACCUCCCCAUUUUCGAGUUUUCUUCUAUCCACUCUUUUCUUUUUUUCUCAAUUUUCCUAUGGUUGAAUGGAAGCCUGGAAGGGAAGGAGUGGGAAUUGAAAUUUUUUAAUUUAAUCAUUAAAUUACAAAUAAUUGACUUCCAAUGAAUUUUUAAUAUGAGGUUAAGUCCAUUUUGGUCUAAUAUAUAAUAUUAAAAAAAUUUCUUGUUUUCUCUUUUGAACUUCAUUUUUAAAGUUCCAAAAGAAGCUUCGUUUUGAAGAAGGUUAUAUGUUAGACUAAGCUGGGUUUUAUUUAUUUAUUUAUUUAUUACUGAGUUUUCGUUCUUUUUUCUUCUGUUAAUUACGCGUUUAACUUUUUUUAAAUUAAUUUCGGUUUUUAUUUUAAUUGUUUAGUUACUUGAGUUUAAAAAAAUCGUUUUCAGGCGUUUGAUUUUGUCGAUGGAGGAUGGUGGUUGUGCGAGUCUCGUCGGAGCUGAAAUUCAUGGAUUUCAUACAUUGCAAGAUUUGGAUGUUAAAAACAUGUUGGAAGAAGCCAAGUCAAGAUGGUUACGCCCAAAUGAGAUUCAUGCUAUAGUGUGCAACCAUAGAUAUUUCUCCAUUUAAGCGAAGCCAGUGAACAUGCCAAAAAGUGGUACUAUUGUAUUGUUUGAUCGAAAGAUGCUGAGGAACUUUCGAAAAGAUGGUUAUAAUUGGGAAAAUAAAAAGGAUGGGAAGACUAUUAAAGAAGCUCAUGAACACUUAAAAGUUGGUGAUAAAGAAAGGAUUCAUGUAUAUUAUGCACAUGGUGAAGAUAACUCAACCUUUGUUCGCAGGUGUUAUUGGCUGCUAGAUAAGUCUUUGGAGCAAAUGGUUCUUGUUCAUUAUCGUGAAACAAAGGAGGUUUCACUAGCCACACAUUCAAAUUCAAGUUUGUUAACAGAUCAGUCUACUCCUUUGCUUGUUACAAAAGAGUUUGAUUCUGGAAUUGCUAAUACAUAUUCUGAAGAACCAGGUGAGAGUGUUAAUGUUAGAAAUCAUGAAAUGAAGCUUCUUGAGAUUAAUACACUUGAAUGGGAUGAGCUUCUGGUGGCAAAUGGUGCUAAUGAUUCGAUUGCAUCUAGAGGAGGUAUUGUAUUAGUUUCCAGUAUAAGCAGUAACACUUAUUUAGUUGCUGAAUUGUAGACAUAUUUUGGUCGUGAUAGCAGACAAUGUCUUACUUUGACCAACAGAACCAAAUGGCAGUAAAUGACUUCUCAAAUUAUAUCAAGAAAAGAGGAAUCCGGAAUUAAAUCUGGGGAAAAGCAAAAUUAUCGAGUAAUCGAUCCGAUUCGUCAAUUUCGAGUACGAGGUAAGUUCAUAAGUAAAUAAAUGUUUUUGAAUUAAAAUGUAUAUGUUUUAUACAUUGCCGAAUUUGAUUCGUAUAUAGAUAUACAUUGCCAAAUUUGAUUUGUAUAUGGUUAUACAUUGCCGAAUUUGAUUUGUAUAUGGAUAUUCAUUGCUGAUUUUGAUUUGUAUAUAGAUAUACAUUGCCAAAUUUGAUCCGUA